GAUGAACGCUGGCGGCGUGCCUAAUACAUGCAAGUCGAGCGAAUGGAUUAAGAGCUUGCUCUUAUGAAGUUAGCGGCGGACGGGUGAGUAACACGUGGGUAACCUGCCCAUAAGACUGGGAUAACUCCGGGAAACCGGGGCUAAUACCGGAUAACAUUUUGAACCGCAUGGUUCGAAAUUGAAAGGCGGCUUCGGCUGUCACUUAUGGAUGGACCCGCGUCGCAUUAGCUAGUUGGUGAGGUAACGGCUCACCAAGGCAACGAUGCGUAGCCGGCCUGAGAGGGUGAUCGGCCACACUGGGACUGAGACACGGCCCAGACUCCUACGGGAGGCAGCAGUAGGGAAUCUUCUGCAAUGGACGAAAGUCUGACGGAGCAACGCCGCGUGAGUGAUGAAGGCUUUCGGGUCGUAAAACUCUGUUGUUAGGGAAGAACAAGUGCUAGUUGAAUAAGCUGGCACCUUGACGGUACCUAACCAGAAAGCCACGGCUAACUACGUGCCAGCCACCGCAGUAA
rnacentral:rRNA from 1 species